rnacentral:rRNA from 1 species
UACAGAGGUCUCAAGCGUUGUUCGGAUUCAUUGGGCGUAAAGGGUGCGUAGGCGGCGCGGUAAGUCGGGUGUGAAAUCUUGGGACUUAACUCCGAAACUGCAUUCGAUACUGCCGUGCUUGAGGACUGGAGAGGAGACUGGAAUUUACGGUGUAGCGGUGAAAUGCGUAGAUAUCGUAAGGAAGACCAGUGGCGAAGGCGGGUCUCUGGACAGUUCCUGACGCUGAGGCACGAAGGCCAGGGGAGCAAACGGGAUUAGA